ACUCCUACGGGAGGCAGCAGUAGGGAAUCUUCGGCAAUGGACGAAAGUCUGACCGAGCAACGCCGCGUGAGCGAUGAAGGCCUUCGGGUCGUAAAGCUCUGUUGUCAGAGAAGAACAAGUACCGGAGUAACUGCCGGUACCUUGACGGUACCUGACCAGAAAGCCACGGCUAACUACGUGCCAGCAGCCGCGGUAAUAC
rnacentral:rRNA from 1 species